rnacentral:lncRNA from 1 species
GGGGGGGGGGGGGGAGAGGGAGUUGGGGGGGUCAAUGGGUGGUCAGGGAGGGUUGUGGGGUUUUGGGAGAUCACAGACACUUGGUCGGACCGGGCAGUAUGGGGUGGUUAUGGGGUUUGGGAAGGAAGAGAGUGCCGGGGCGUUACGGGGUUCGGGGUCUGGCAUGGCGGAGUUUGGGGGGAUCGGGAGGGACUGAGGGGUCUGGGGCAGCAGGAGGUCCCGUACGGGGAUGGGCUGCGGGGCUCAGCCCCCUUCCCUUCCCGCUCCGCUCCUCAGGACAGCUCGGGGUACGGGGAUGGGCUGCGAGGCUCAGCCCCUUUCCCCCCCGCUCCGCUCCUCAGGACAGCUCGGGGCUGCGGCUCUGGAAGCGCCGCUGGUUUGUGCUGGUGGAUCUCUGCCUCUACUACUACCGGGGCUGAACAUCCCGGGAUGCGGACGUACUGCCUGGGGGCUGAGACCCCCGAGGAGCUGCAGGCCUGGGUCUGUGCCCUGCGCCGGGGGGCAUCGCCCCUUCCCGGCUCCCCCCGUUCCCUCUCCCAGCAGACACUCCAGGAACCCCGGGGUGCGGAUCCUCCCUCUCCCGCACUGCCCACCCACUCCCCAGAUGAGGGGCUCGGGGGCCCCCCAGGCCCUCCACUGCCCCACAGCGAGGUGAGAUCUGGUGGGGAGGACGCGGGGGGAGGAAUUGGAACCCUGCUGGAUAGGGGGAAAUAUGAGGGGGGCAAGUACUGGGGUGACUGUGGUGCAGAUCUGUGCGGUGAGGGGGGUUAUGGGGCAGAGCGGGGGGGGGGGGGGGGGGGGGGGGGGGGGGGGGGGGGGGGGGGGGGGGGGGGGGGG